rnacentral:rRNA from 1 species
UACGUAGGUGGCAAGCGUUGUCCGGAAUUAUUGGGCGUAAAGCGCGCGCAGGCGGUCCUUUAAGUCUGAUGUGAAAGCCCACGGCUCAACCGUGGAGGGUCAUUGGAAACUGGGGGACUUGAGUACAGGAGAGAAGAGUGGAAUUCCACGUGUAGCGGUGAAAUGCGUAGAGAUGUGGAGGAACACCAGUGGCGAAGGCGACUCUUUGGCCUGUAACUGACGCUGAGGCGCGAAGGCCAGGGGAGCAAACGGG